AGGAGAAUUUGGACGCUGGCCUGCAGGACACCCACCACCACCACCAUCACCCUGUGUCCCCCUAGCCCCAGGUAAUAUCCACUAGGGGGCCUGCCCGACGCCGGAGCGCCCACUGUAUGCGCCUUCCCUGAGAGUUCAGGGACCGGGGUGCAUGAAUAGUUCGGAAAGAGGAAAGGCCUCCGCGCCUCCUCUUCAUCCCUGGGUCAAGCCCGGGGCCAGAGAUGGGUCUGGGUUCUAAGCCCAGCUCUGGCACCCACAAAGCGUUCGAUUCGUGUCUCCCAAAAGUCUGCUACAGGUGGGUAGAAAGAAAAGACUAGGGAGAGGCAUUCCAGACGUUUCCGGGGCAAGGAGAGCCCCUUGCCUGAGUAGUAGGGCGGUGUUUGCUAGCGAAGGAGACUCACAGACAAGGGAAGAAGUGUUGUGUGAUUGCCCAGGUCUCCUGAAGCCGUAGUGUGGGAACUCAGGGCGGGGACCCUAGAAACUGAAAGGCUAGGUGGAGUUGGCAGUGCAGGUACCGCCUGGACUCCUCCCAAGACUGCCUGGGCGACAGCCUGGCCUGGGUAGAAGCCUUGAAUCCCUCAAGGACCGCUCGGGCUGGAGAAAGCCUCAGAACCGGGCGGAAGCUCUGCACAGUAGCUGUUACGGCUUCUCAUACGCCCGUCCCACCCUAGACAUCUCCAAAAUGGCCUCGAGACUCCAGCCAAGCCAGGAAUUUGGCGGCCCAAGGGUGGAGUGCGGGGGAUGCCUUUUGGAAAACUCUGAGCUGCUUUAAAAGUUCAUGUGGGAAAGCAUGCUUCUUUUGGUUGUAGAAAGACAUCUCAAGUUGAUUCCGGGCCAGAAACACCCAGACUAGAAAUGGGGUUGGGGUGUGUGUAGCUGAUUUCUGGGCUUGUGUCCCAACAGCUGGUUUCAUUUAGAUUUUUGUGUGAUUAACCGACGUCUUCCUGUUGCUUGGCCACAAGUAUCUAGCAAGCCUCUUUUACCUUAUAAGGGAAACCCUUUGUAGCCGGUGGAAGGCUUUGAUUGCAGGAAGGGGCGGAGCUCAAGAUGACUUAGGAUGUGUGUGUGUGUGUGUGUGUGUGUGUGUGUGAAUGAAUGCAUGGAUGUGAACUAGAGCUCUUUCUGUUUUAAACAGUUGAAAAUAUGCCAAGAUCAAAGUGUGCCUCUUCAGUCUAAGUUCUUUUCCUUUUCUUUGAGACAACUCAUGAAUGUGGAAACUCAAUGUGACUGUGAAAGUGAUUACUAUGUUGGGUGUGGCCUUGAGCCCCCUGCAGCCCAGGCUACUUAGAGGCUGUGGGGUUGUCAUUGAAUGGUGGGAUACUUGCUUAGUAUGCACAAAGUCCUGGGUCCCUUCUGCAGGACUGGGUGAACUGGAUGAAGUAGAGCCUGCACUUGAGAGAUUAAGGCAGGGCAGUCAGAAAUUAGGGCCAGACUAUGUAGUUAGAGGCCAACUUGGACUUCGUGAAACCAU
rnacentral:lncRNA from 1 species